GGGCAGUGUAGGCAACGCAUUUGGCGUGACCAACGCUCCUGGACUUGGAACAAGCAUGAGCUUGCCCCAAGCACUUUCAAACACACGUACUGAUGGACUUGGGGCGCUUUACCGGGAAGGAACAGCCUCAUUUCUCAACUCCAUGGUGAAUAAUAGGUUCCCAUUCUCGACUAAGCAAGUCAGGGAGACUUUUGUUGCAGCACUUGGUUCAAACAGCGCUGCAGCAGCUCAGGCUCGUCUCUUCAAGCUUGCCAAUGAAGGCCACCUCAAGCCAAGGACCUAAGCAAACACCUUUUGGUUUGUCAGUUUCUUGAAGCAUUUUAUCCACUAGUGUGUGCUACUUAGAUUUUAUGUUCCUAGUAUUCGACAUCUAUAAUGCUACAGCUUUCAUUUGGAUAGAUACUGUGUCUAGAACUGAAUGUUAAGUUUAUGUUUUCUUAUUUUAAAUAAAAUUUAAGAUAUUUGUUUAAAUUUCCUCCUACCACAUACUCUACACUGACAGAAACUGCAUCAAAAGUUGGUCACUAGCUAGGCCACUGGUGAAUGAAACCAUAAUUUCAAGCUAUCUGAGACAAUCAAAAUAAAACAUGCAUCUAGCGUUUCUAGAUAGACGUUCUAAACCAAGCAAAUUACAUGGUUAAUGAUUCGUGCUGAUGCAUCCAUGUUUAUGGAGCAUGCGUGCAUGGCGAAUUCAACAAAGGGAGCGUGGUAAGAAUAAAUGGGAAGUGAAUGCACAUUAAUGACCCAAAUACAGAGCAGUGGAACUUGCAGAUAGCCCAGUGUAUUUCAUUUAUUAUGUAGUACAGCUGUAGGAAUUCCAUGAACCAUAUUUAAGAGAGAACUGAACAGCAGAAACUAGAAUAUUAUAAGAACAAUUAAUGAGUUACUUUCACAACUAAAGUAGUAUUAAGGUCAUCAACAUAAAGAAAGACAUAAAUCUUCUUUUUGACAAAAAGUUCUAAUGCCAAUCCUGGUUCGCUACCAAUUCAUUGAAACAACGUCACAGUUAUGGGAUUCUGUCUCAAAUGAAGGUAAAAGUUAGGAUGGUCAACAGGAAAACAACUCUGAAGGAAACCCAAAGGAAAACAUACCUUUUGCUUGUUAUAAUGACCAGUAAGAAAUCGUUUACACAAUUGAUAAACAAGGAAAGUGAACAAUUAUUUGGGAGGCAACUUAAGCACCAGCUGAUCAUGAGAAAUUACUGCUCCUUAGUAUUCUCGACUUU
rnacentral:lncRNA from 1 species